UUUCUUUUAUAGAAGCAGUAGACUUUGAACGACACGGAAAAAUACAGAGAAUAAUGUAACAAACCUCUAAGCACCCGUAUUCCAGAAUUAAUAAAUGUUAAUAUUUUGUAGCGAUGACUCCAUUUUUUUAACAUAAAAUAACUGAAACAUUACUGAUAAAGCUGUGCCCUUUCCUUUAUUUCACAGAUGGGCAGUAUGAGGAGGAGGAGGGGAAAGGACUGGCCUGAGGUCUGCAGCCCCCCAGCAUCUCUCUGAUCCUUAUGAAAUGGGUCCUCACAUGGACACUGUCAGGCUGGUACCAGGCCAAGGAUGGGAGAAGCCUCAGUAACUAGAAUUGCUGUUAAGACCACACAUCCAGCUACAUGGGCCUUCCUGGAGACUCCGACCUGCAGGAUGUUUAAAGCUGUCCUUAAAGGAGGCUCGGAGAGGUGCCACAGCUGUCCAGAACAUCUGACAAGAUACACGACGGGCAAUGAUUCUGCCUUUUCUUCUCCAGUGUUCGAGCCACCCCCCAUUCAUACCCAG
rnacentral:lncRNA from 1 species